GAUGAACGCUGGCGGCGUGCCUAAUACAUGCAAGUCGAGCGAACAGACGAGGAGCUUGCUCCUCUGACGUUAGCGGCGGACGGGUGAGUAACACGUGGAUAACCUACCUAUAAGACUGGGAUAACUUCGGGAAACCGGAGCUAAUACCGGAUAAUAUAUUGAACCGCAUGGUUCAAUAGUGAAAGACGGUUUUGCUGUCACUUAUAGAUGGAUCCGCGCCGCAUUAGCUAGUUGGUAAGGUAACGGCUUACCAAGGCAACGAUGCGUAGCCGACCUGAGAGGGUGAUCGGCCACUCUGGAACUGAGACACGGUCCAGACUCCUACGGGAGGCAGCAGUAGGGAAUCUUCCGCAAUGGGCGAAAGCCUGACGGAGCAACGCCGCGUGAGUGAUGAAGGUCUUCGGAUCGUAAAACUCUGUUAUUAGGGAAGAACAAAUGUGUAAGUAACUAUGCACGUCUUGACGGUACCUAAUCAGAAAGCCACGGCUAACUACGUG
rnacentral:rRNA from 1 species